AUUGAACGCUGGCGGCAGGCUUAACACAUGCAAGUCGAGCGGAGAUGAGGUGCUUGCACCUUAUCUUAGCGGCGGACGGGUGAGUAAUGCUUAGGAAUCUGCCUAUUAGUGGGGGACAACAUUCCGAAAGGAAUGCUAAUACCGCAUACGUCCUACGGGAGAAAGCAGGGGAUCUUCGGACCUUGGCCUAAUAAAUGAGCCUAAGUCGGAUUAGCUAGUUGGUGGGGUAAAGGCCUACCAAGGCGCCGAUCUGUAGCGGGUCUGAGAGGAUGAUCCGCCACACUGGGACUGAGACACGGCCCAGACUCCUACGGGAGGCAGCAGUGGGGAAUAUUGGACAAUGGGGGAAACCCUGAUCCAGCCGUGCCGCGUGUGUGAAGAAGGCCUUAUGGUUGUAAAGCACUUUAAGCGAGGAGGAGGCUACUGAGACUAAUACUCUUGGAUAGUGGACGUUACUCGCAGAAUAAGCACCGGCUAACUCUGUGCCAGCCGCCGCCGUAA
rnacentral:rRNA from 1 species